UUUCCGGGACGUCGCGCGCCGUGUGGGGCGCGCACGCAGGGCUGGGCGUGAGGGGGCGUGCGCGUGCGCAGGCGACGCGCCGAGGUACUAGGCAGAGCCGUGGAACCGCCGCCAGGUCGCUGUUGGUCCACGCCGCCCGUCGCGCCGCCCGCCCGCUCAGCGUCCGCCGCCGCCAUGGGAGUGCAGGUGGAAACCAUCUCCCCAGGAGACGGGCGCACCUUCCCCAAGCGCGGCCAGACCUGCGUGGUGCACUACACCGGGUGUUCUGAGAAUCAGCCAUGUCAUCCCUGUACCCAUCUCUAGAGGACCUAAAAGUGGACCAAGCCAUUCAGGCCCAGGUCAGAGCCUCACCCAAGAUGCCAGCCCUGCCAGUCCAGGCAACAGCCAUUUCCCCACCACCAGUUUUGUACCCAAACUUGGCAGAACUGGAAAAUUAUAUGGGUCUUUCCCUCUCCAGCCAAGAAGUCCAGGAGAGCCUGCUUCAGAUUCCAGAGGGUGACAGUACAGCGGUCUCGGGCCCCGGGCCCGGCCAGAUGGUGGCACCGGUAACCGGGUACAGCCUGGGCGUGCGGCGAGCUGAGAUCAAGCCCGGGGUGCGCGAGAUCCACCUGUGCAAGGACGAGCGCGGCAAGACCGGGCUGAGGCUGCGGAAGGUCGACCAGGGGCUCUUUGUGCAGUUGGUCCAGGCCAACACCCCUGCAUCCCUUGUGGGGCUGCGCUUUGGGGACCAGCUCCUGCAGAUUGACGGGCGUGACUGUGCUGGGUGGAGCUCGCACAAAGCCCAUCAGGUGGUGAAGAAGGCAUCAGGCGAUAAGAUUGUCGUGGUGGUUCGGGACAGGCCGUUCCAGCGGACUGUCACCAUGCACAAGGACAGCAUGGGCCACGUCGGCUUCGUGAUCAAGAAGGGGAAGAUUGUCUCUCUGGUCAAAGGGAGUUCUGCGGCCCGCAACGGGCUCCUCACCAACCACUACGUGUGUGAGGUGGACGGGCAGAAUGUUAUCGGGCUGAAGGACAAAAAGAUCAUGGAGAUUCUGGCCACGGCUGGGAACGUUGUCACCCUGACCAUCAUCCCCAGUGUGAUCUACGAGCACAUGGUCAAAAAGUUGCCUCCAGUCCUGCUCCACCACACCAUGGACCACUCCAUCCCAGAUGCCUGAAGCCACUGCAGGGCAGGGCAGGCAGGGGGGGCUUCCCGCCCUCCUGCAGCAAAGGGCAACCACCCUCGGAUGAUGGGUUGCAGCCGGCCUGCUGCUUAAGGUGGGGGCUGCCAUGAGGGGGGCGUGUCCAGGAGGGUGACCAUGGGAUGGCUUAUACACACAGGCCUCCUUGGAGCCUCAGACUCCAAGCUAGGCUGAGGCUCAGGCAGGGCCCACAGGCAGCCGAUUCUCUUGUGCUGAUUUAAAUGCUGGACACGGAGGCAGGCUGUUUAAACGCUGCUUAAAGUCGCAACUGGGCCCCUUUCAAGAAAUUUUGCUCUACCAGGAAAACAGUUACACAUUUUAAGAGAACAGAGCUACGUUCUUUGUGAGAGCUUUUUCCUUGCCUUGACUUGCUCUUUGUCACAGACUGCAUAAGUUGUCAGCCUUGACUAUCUUUUGAAUAAAGAUUUGAUUUUAAACAAAACCCUGUCCGCAAAGGUAAUUGAUUCCCCCAAAACUAUUGAAAAUAAAAUAAAAAGGUAACUGAAAA
rnacentral:lncRNA from 1 species